CCAGGUGGUCUAAGAUCUGAUCAGCCAAUCAUCUCCCUGUCUGAUGGGGUCUUUGAGGUCUACCAGCAGGGGUUCCGGGUGCUCAUGGGCUCCGACUUCACCAGCACAUGCUCCAUCCAACCACAGUACCCAGGAGGCUCCUUCCAACUGAUCUCCGACACCAAGGAGCAGCUGAACCGCACCCUGCCAGCUGUCAAUCACUCCGUCCACUUCCUGUUGUCUGCCAUGGGCUAUGCCCACCGAGGGAACUACACAUGUGUUUAUCACGUGAACAUUU